ACAGGUGUUGCAUGGCUGUCGUCAGCUCGUGUCGUGAGAUGUUCGGUUAAGUCCGCUAACGAGCGCAACCUCGUCGUAUGUUAUAUGUGUCAUACGAGACUGCCGGUAAAAAGCCGGAGGAAGGUGAGGAUGAUGUCAAGUCAGCAUGACCUUUAUAUCCAGGGCUACACACACGCUACAAUGGUCUGUACAAUGGGUAGCCAAGCCGCGAGGCGGAGCCAAUCCUGAAAGCAGGCCUCAGUUCAGAUUGCAGUCUGCAACUCGACUGCAUGAAGCCGGAGUUGCUAGUAACCGCAGGUCAGCUAUACUGCGUUGAAUACGUUCCCGGGGCUU
rnacentral:rRNA from 1 species